CAGUCGCCGCGGGAAUACCAGCAGCCCAAGUGGUGGUCGCGAUUAUUGGGCCUAAAGCGCUCGUAGCCGGGCCGGUAAGUCCCUUGUGAAAUCGGACGGCCUAACCGUUCGGCGUGCAAGGGAUACUGUCGGUCUUGAGGCCGGGAGACGUCCGAGGUACUCCGGGGGUAGCGGUGAAAUGUUCUGAUCCUCGGGGGACCACCGGUGGCGAAGGCGUUCGACGAGAACGGGCCUGACGGUGAGGGGCGAAGGCUAGGGGAGCAAACGGGAUUAGAUACCCGCGUAGUCCCUGUCUCUUAUA
rnacentral:rRNA from 1 species